UACGAAGGGGGCUAGCGUUGCUCGGAAUCACUGGGCGUAAAGCGCACGUAAGCGGCUUACUAAGUCAGGGGUGAAAUCCUGGAGCUCAACUCCAGAACUGCCUUUGAUACUGGUGAGCUUGAGUCCGGGAGAGGUGAGUGGAACUGCGAGUGUAGAGGUGAAAUUCGUAGAUAUUCGCAAGAACACCAGUGGCGAAGGCGGCUCACUGGCCCGGUACUGACGCUGAGGCCCGAAAGCGUGGGGAUCAAACAGG
rnacentral:rRNA from 1 species